UACGGAGGGUGCAAGCGUUAUCCGGAUUCACUGGGUUUAAAGGGUGUGUAGGCGGACUUUUAAGUCAGUGGUGAAAUCUCAAGGCUCAACCUUGAAACUGCCAUUGAUACUAUUAGUCUUGAAUCUUGUUGAGGUGGGCGGAAUAUGUCAUGUAGCGGUGAAAUGCUUAGAUAUGACAUAGAACACCAAUUGCGAAGGCAGCUUACUAAGCUGUAACUGACGCUGAGGCACGAAAGUGUGGGGAUCAAACAGG
rnacentral:rRNA from 1 species